AGAGUUUGAUUCUGGCUCAGAAUGAACGCUGGCGGCGUGCUUAACACAUGCAAGUCGAACGAGAAAGGGAUUGCUUGCAAUCCCGAGUAGAGUGGCGCACGGGUGAGUAACACGUAGAUAAUCUGCCUUCAAGCCUGGGAUAACUAUUCGAAAGGGUAGCUAAUACCGGAUAAAGUCGAUCUACACAAGUAGAUUGAUGAAAGAUUGCCUCUUCUUGAAAGCAAUUGUUUGGAGAUGAGUUUGCGUACCAUUAGCUUGUUGGUGGGGUAAAGGCCUACCAAGGCAACGAUGGUUAGCUGGUCUGAGAGGAUGAUCCGCCACACUGGCACUGGAACACGGACCAGACUCCUACGGGAGGCAGCAGUGAGGAAUAUUGCGCAAUGGGGGAAACCCUGACGCAGCGACGCCGCGUGGAUGAUGAAGGCCUUCGGGUCGUAAAAUCCUGUCAGAUGGAAAGAAAUGUAGUAUGCCUAAUACGUGUACUAUUUGACGGUACCAUCAAAGGAAGCACCGGCUAACUCCGUGCCAGCAGCCGCGGUAAU
rnacentral:rRNA from 1 species